UUCUGAGGAGUGUUUUCCAUUAGAGGGCAGUACAGAACGGGAAACAGGAAUCAACAUUUCAACCUUGAAUUCAUCCUGCACAUUUAAUCUGUAACUUAAAUGUUUAUGUGUGGUUUUAUUUUUAACACAUCCCUGUUUAAUCCCAGCGGGGUAAAUUAUUCCUUCUUUAAAAAGACCAUAUGGAGAGGGCAGUGGUGGCGACGGCAGCGGCGUGUAUUUAGAUAAAUAAGUUGCUUUAAUUGAAAAUGUCCUUUCCUCCUCUUUCACACUUUUUCUCUCCUGAUAGUCUGUUACAUUGACAGUUUCGUCUCUUUUUUUUUUUUUAGCUGCUAAAUUCUUCAUUCUCCUAACAGUCUAGUGCAGCUCCAGAGUGACCCUUACUGGCCCGUAGUUAUUCCUCUUCUGUGCAGCCCAGGUAGCCUAAUAAUCCACCCUCCAAAAAUAACCUCAGCACUAACCUUUUCAGAGCCCAUUCAAGUGGCCCGCUCACUGAAUACAUUUGAACUUUGCUGCAUUUUUGAAUUUCUUAUCCGAUCCUUCUCCGUGUGGCUGUCUCACCGUGCUGCUGCUGCUGCUGCUGCUGCUGCUGCUGGACUCACUUCCUCUGCCGUUUGGAGGAGCACCGUGGCAGCGGAGAUGUUGAGGCAGCAGACAGGCAGAUGAAGAAUGAGACUCAGUCUGUGGUUUCACAGAGGGCUAAUGAUGCCUGUGGUGACUACAGGCUACAGUCAGCCCCCUAACGAAGGGAGCUGUGACACAGCCACAAGGGGUCCCAUUUAAGCCUGGCGCACUCUGAAGUGCACUGUAAGCACCCUCCUUUUUUUUUGCUUGUGGCUAAGUAAAUUCUAAGGAAUGCUAUGAAUUUAGCAACCAGAGAUACUGAUGUCUGCAGAGUCCUGUGCUUGAUGUUAAAAACAAGUCCAGCAUCAAAGCUGCAGACAUGCUGCCAGUAAUUGGCCAUGUAAUUGCUUAGGUACCAGAGGAACCCCUUUAAAAUAAUUCACACCUUUUUAUUUCCUCCGUUUUAAUGCCAUUUUUAGUAGUUAUAAGCAUUAGCAGCGCCGUUAUUAUUAUGUCUGUAUUAUUUUGAGGUUCGUGUGUACCACUUCCGUAUCAUGCUGGCUCCGAGAUAAAAAAGAAUUAGAUUAAAAAGAGGCUGAGACGAUCUCAUCAUCCGCACUGUUAAUCUCUGUGAAACCUUUAAUUUUGGCCUAAUAUCUGUCUCCAAUUCAGAGUGAGAGAGAGAGAGUGAGAGAGAGACUGCACAAGUGCAUGUGCUGCUGCAUGCUCAUGCGUGCGUUUGUGUGUGUGCGCGUGUGAGCAUGUGGCCAUGCGUGUUGGUGUGUGCACAUGUGUAUGUCCAUAUGUGUGUGGGUGAAGUGGAUGAUAUUGAGUCUGACUUCAUAAAUCACCCAGACACUGAUAAACUCCCCAUGCACCCACACACCGCUAAUGGGCAACCCUUAAGGAGUGUGAGUGUCUCGUGCGGCGUUUGAUUCAACAUUUAUUAACCCCCUCACACACACACACACACACUUUCUCCUGCUAUACAACACACACUCAUUUGAGCCCCCAGAAAGAGCGAGGAUAUAGUUGGUGGCAUUGAGAGUGUUAGUGCGAGUCUUUUGACCUGGCCAGCUGUAUUAAUCUUAGCGGAUGGUGAUAAGAUACAUUUUAACUUAUUCGCCAACAACAACCUCUGCAUUUCCCAACAUUAGUUUCCUUCUCAUAACUUAUAUCCUGUCUCCAACUCCCCACUUCCCAUCUCAUAUCCUGGCACCCCUCCUCAUUAUAGAACAAUUUUCUUCCCCCCACAUCAACUACAAACACACUCUGUGCUCCCAUCUCUUACUCUUCAUACAUGUUGGCUCAUAAUUCAAAUGUUAUCACGACCUGCAACCCCUUGGCACAGGUAGGGGCUUAGAGGGGUUCCCUGCAGAAGUUAAUCCUGCAGCCACAUCGGUGAUUCGCAAAUAGCGGCUUUUAUUCUUCCCUAAAAACUUUAAAAAGAAACAAGAAACUUUUUGGAUGAUAUUAAGCGCAAGCAGAGUGCUGCUGCUGGGAAGCCAGAGGAGUAUCCAGCAUGCAGAUAGGCAGCGUCCAACAGUCAGUCAGUCAGAGAGAUAGGCACAGGGAUAGAUAGCUGGAUAGACAGACAUUAGACUGGGCUUGGCUGCACUAUCAGGUUUCCUCCCCCUCUGUCUGUCUGCCGGGACAGCCGGGGCCUCCGAGGCCCUGACACUGAGGCACCGCGCAGCCAGCCACGACAGCUGCCACAGCAGCAUCUAAUACCAACACACUCCACGCUACACCAUGACUACAAAGACAAGUAUCAUCUCAAACAUGGCACACUUUGAUGCUCUUGUAAUGAUCUUUGUGUUUUGAGAGCGAACAAGGGAGGAUGGAGGAUUGGUAUGGUGCCUUUUUCUUUUUGUUUUGUUUUUUAAGAACAAAGAGACCCCCCCCUACACGAGCAAGAUUAGGACAGUGAUGAUGAGACGGAGCAGGAUUAAAUGAGAAAGUAAAAGAAGCCCUGAGAGGUAUCAGCAUGAGAGCGUGUGCAUGUUGGUAACCUUGUAUCAGUGUGUCAUUGUAACCUCCUGAACUCGAGUGCUGGUCUGGGGGUCUCUAAUUAGGACCGGCUGAUGAACGGCCAUGCAUAACGUGAGAGCGGGGGCUCCUGCGAGCGUGUAUCCCUGCAUGUAUCAAUCUGUGACUAUGCAGCGCGGCAUGUCAGCGUGGUAAGGAGAGUGUCUCAGCCUGGAGAAAGUGCAGGUCUAGCCUUGGUCAUGUUGACGGAGGGGCGGCACUUCAGAGGCUCCAGGACCCCAUGGCACCAGUCUCCCCAGUCCCCCCAGACAGACUGGGAGCAUCUGGGCUCUGUCAGCGCCUCUGGCCCCCGCAGACUCCGAUCUAUAUGACGGGGAGAGAGGAGUGGAUUGGAUCAGGGCGAGGGAAAAUAUGAGCCAGAUUCCUCUGCCUUGUGCAAAACGCACGCUUUGCCAGUUAGCAUGUUACACGUGUGUGUGCGUGCGAGUGUGCGGUUGCAUUAAGGCCUGAUAACAGGUCCUACUGAUUAAUUUUGUAUGAUGUCAGAUAGCAGUUAUUGAUUAGCAGCUCAUGUUGGAAAAGUCCUCUCUAAAGAUUGUCCAAUUAAGCAUUAAUUAAAAGUGUGCCGCUAAAAACAUGCAAAGCCAGUUCUGAGGGAAAAAAACUCACGAUUAGACCGACAGAUUUCUUUCCAGAGCUUUCUUUAUGAACGCGAGCGAUGAUUUGAUCAAGUGGGUAUAUCUCUGGAAACUGAUACACACACACACAAGACUAAUUAAUCCAUACACUAAAUUAGGAAUAUAAAUUGUGGUCCCAAUUUAACAAGGUCAGCUUUAACUUCUCCCUUUACACUUUAUUUAACAGGAGCAGGAGAGAGAGGGGAAAAAAGAGGGAGCCCUAUCAAUGUGCUUCGCUUAUUAUGAUUGACGAUUGAUGAUUAAGUCCUCCAGCUGACACACACCAGCAAAGCCGGUGAGUUGGAAUUGGAUGUGACACAUACACAGUUCUGCGUGUUAGGUAAUUCGUUGACGAGGGGCCAAAUUCAUUUAUGGAACAGCGGUAUUGGCAGGCAUGGACACUCUCUGCAAAAACAACGAUAAUCACAGAGGUUUGGCGCGGCGUGACAAGGACUCUUCAGGGAAAGGCCCUUACACGCUGCUUUGUUGGCCGUUCCUCCCUAAGAUGGAG